rnacentral:rRNA from 1 species
UACGUAGGGGGCAAGCGUUAUCCGGAUUUACUGGGUGUAAAGGGAGCGUAGACGGCGAUGCAAGUCUGAAGUGAAAGGCGGGGGCCCAACCCCCGGACUGCUUUGGAAACUGUAUGGCUGGAGUGCAGGAGAGGUAAGUGGAAUUCCUAGUGUAGCGGUGAAAUGCGUGGAUAUUAGGAGGAACACCAGUGGCGAAGGCGGCUUACUGGACUGUAACUGACGUUGAGGCUCGAAAGCGUGGGGAGCAAACAGG